GCCACACCAUAUAAGCUUAAUAAUGCUAAUAUACCUCGUAUAGAAUUACUUCCACAUAUAAUUGAACAAAAUAAUUAUACAAACCUCUGUCUUCAUACCCUUGGAAAACAAUCUAAUAGAAUAGAAAAUUUAUUACAACCGCCCAGUCAUAAAGAGAAAAAACAAUUAUUUUUCAAACCACCUCCUGAUUUGAAUAAAGAAAAAUUUCUUAUAGGAGAAGAUAAUACAACCCUUAUGGGACAACUAAUUUCUAAAUUAUCUAAAUUAGAAAUAAAAGAA
rnacentral:lncRNA from 1 species